GUCCUGGUUUACUAGGACGUAUACUAAAAUUGGAACGAUACAGAGAAGAUUAGCAUGGUCCCCUGCGCAAGGAUGACACGCAAACUCGUGAAGCGUUCCUCACUUUU
rnacentral:snRNA from 1 species